GCCUGGGUGGCUCAGUCGGUUAAGCAUCUGACUUUGGCUCAGGUUCACAAGUUCGAGCCCUGUGUCAGGCU
rnacentral:tRNA from 1 species